rnacentral:rRNA from 1 species
AACGAACGCUGGCGGCAUGCCUAACACAUGCAAGUCGAACGAGACCUCCGGGUCUAGUGGCGCACGGGUGCGUAACGCGUGGGAAGCUUGCCUUGGGCUCGGAAUAACAGUUGGUAACGACUGCUAAUACCGGGUGAUUAACUAAGUUAAAAGAUUCAUCGUGCUAGGAUGAGCCCGCGUAGGUUUAGCUAGUUGGUGAGGUAAAGGCUCACCAAGGCGACGAUCCUUAGCUGGUCUGAGAGGAUGGUCAGCCACUCUGGGGGUGAGACACGGCGCGGAAUCUUGCGCGAGGCGGGAGAGCCUGAUAUUGGACUAUCGGCGGGAGCAUGAAGCAGCUAGGCUGGGUAAGUCAUUUAGGCCGUAGAGUAGUACAGCUCGUUUACCCGGGACUAUAAUGACGGUACCGGAAGAAUAAGCACCGGCUAACUCCGUG